ACACAUGAUUUUUACCUCUAAGAAUUCUCUCAAAUCAAAAAAUCUCUUUCUUAUUAAAAAGAAGAUCUUCUCAAAUCAAAUUGAGUGCUCCACAAUAACUUUCAAAAUCAAAGUUCCAGAUCUUGGUAACGAUUCACGGAGAGUAUCCAAACUCUACUCUAGGUGUGAUUUUGGCUAAAAACAAUUCUCAAAUGGCUUAUGCAGAAGUACUAUGAUCCAAAGAUACAAGCAUGGUUCUUCUUUAGUUCUAAGGAUGAUGUGAAUGUGGGAUCAACUGCACCACUCCUCUAUUUAUUCAUGGACUAAGUAUGUUCAUUCAGAAGGUCUUCAGAGGCUAAUACGCGAGCAUAGUUCAUAAAACAUGAAGACUUGCAUGUUGCACUAUUGCAGGUCAUCAGAGGAUAAUCCACGAGCAUAUUUCAUCUUCUCGCUGACAAUAAAUUAACAAUGAGAAUAGUGGUGAAUUCAGAUGUGUUGACCAACGAGGAAAGUUGAGAGGAGGCUUUUGUCAACUGGGUUAGUGUGUCUGAACAAUGGAAACAAGAUCAUAACAUGAAUGAGAGUUACCGGGACAAUGGAAUAUAUUCCAGAAGCAAAGCUGUUCAGUGGACCCAUACUUCUGAUACCAGGGGGGUUAUUUCCUUAUUGGCACAUGGAUCGGCACGCCAUCUUGUUGCCCUUGAAGUCAUGGUGGCCUUUUUCCUCUUAAAUAAUUUUUGCUUUUUGACCUGAUUUACUUGGGUAUUAAUUCUACAUUGCCUGCUCAAUAUUUUCACCGUAGCUAAAAGGUUUGAUCGUCUCUCACUGAACACCUGAUAAGCUUAAUGGUUCUUCCCUGUUAUGCAAGGUGUGGAGUAGAUGAAUAAUGUAAAGCAUAGAGAAGAUGAGUAAUAAAGUAUCUCACACACGAGGAUUUGAAGGCGAUAAUGAUCCUGAACUCCAUUUCGUAGCCGCCCGCCGAAGGUAAUAAGAAACUUUUGUUACAUGAUUUUAUUACUUAAACUCAUUCUGUAACAAUUAGCUACGCACACAUGUCUGAAGAUGUAAAGAGCAGAGGUGGUCAUUUCAGAGACGUCUUAUCAGAUUUGAAUUGAUCAAUGAUGAACUUAACAAUGUUCAAUAUAAUCAAUACAUGAUCAAUCCUGAAUGGUAAGUUUCUAAUCUGUUUCACCUUCUUUUUACCUUAUGGCGUGCAUCUGUUUUGACAUUUUUUCGAAGUUGGUUUCACUUUUUCCCGUUAUAUAUUCUUAGAGCAGCACUUGGUUCGUAUUGCUUUAAAGGUUCCUAUUUAUUUAUAACCUUCCUGUGUUUUGCCUUUUUUAAUCACUGCUUAAGACAAAAGUAAAAUUGAUUAAACAGGAAUACUCAUAAACUUCAGCAUUUCUAAUUUAGAUACAUGUUCUGUAGAAUAAAGGACUUUGCAAUUGCCGAGUUUUUCGGAAUUCAGAUUCCUUGCUGAGAUGUUAAUAUGGUUUUCUGGGUUGUUGUUUUUGGGUAUCUAAAUACAUGUACUGAGCAAUUGCUGAGUUUUUCAGAAUUCAGAUUCAUGGAGCUUGCUGGGUUGUUUCAAAAAGAGGCUUUUUUGAUGGGUGGGAUUCUUGGGAUGAACACUUAAUCUGACCUUCACUGUUGGUCAUUUACUUUAGAUAAGAAAGCUUAAACUGGGAAAUGAUUCGUGACAAGGGGGUAAUGGGGCCGUGAAGCGUGAUAUUGGGGAUUCCAUUACCUUGAAUACUAUCCAUCAGCCAAGAAGCAUUUAUCCCUGUUGCACGCCUUUCGCAUUUCAAAAUUGAAGAUGAGGCGAUAUGACACAAAUGAUGAUGAAGUCUGUUGUCCAGUCUGAAAAGUUCCUUACAGACUCUAAAAGUUGUGUACAAAAGUGGAUCCUGCAAUUCUCAACUUAGCUCGAUAUAACUAUAACGCCGCAUCUCCCUUUUGACUACAUAAAUCAUCUGAAGAGUCCAAUGGAAAUACAUGAAGAGGCUGAGAAUGCAACUGGUAAGGACUUUAGCACUACGAUAUAGACUUAAGAUCAAUGAUGUUAGGGUUAUAUGUGCAAAUGAAGCAAUGUGUUAGGUACACUCUCUUUAGGCUCUCUUCAUGGGCAAGCAAUUGGAAUUGUAUUUGCUGUCUUUGCUCAAAUGGCAGAGCACAUGGUUUUAACCCAUGUAGUUGUGGGUUCGACUCCCACAGAUAGCAUAGUUAGAUGAGUAAUCCAAAACGUUAUAUGCAUUCUGAUACCAGUAUAUAGAUAUGAUGGAACAUAAGCACAUGUAGAAAAAAUUUCAUUUCUAUAUUGUCUUCUGUCAAACAAAAACUAAUAUUGUUUUCUCAGCACUUUUUUCUGGAAGAGAACAUGUUGGAAGUUGAUUGCCUUUGCGUA